rnacentral:rRNA from 1 species
CCUANGGGGGGCAGCAGUGGGGAAUAUUGGACAAUGGGGGAAACCCUGAUCCAGCAAUGCCGCGUGUGUGAAGAAGGCCUGCGGGUUGUAAAGCACUUUCAGUAGAGAAGAAAUGCCUGGAGCUAACAUCUCUGGGUCUUGACGUAACCUACAGAAGAAGCACCGGCUAACUCCGUGCCAGCAGCCGCGGUAAUACGGAGGGUGCGAGCGUUAAUCGGAAUUACUGGGCGUAAAGCGCGCGUAGGCGGUUUGGUCAGUCGAUUGUGAAAGCCCUGGGCUUAACCUGGGAAUUGCAGUCGAUACUGCCUGACUAGAAUGUGGAAGAGGGAAGUGGAAUUUCCGGUGUAGCGGUGAAAUGCGUAGAUAUCGGAAGGAACACCAGUGGCGAAGGCGGCUUCCUGGUCCAACAUUGACGCUGAGGUGCGAAAGCGUGGGGAGCGAACAGGAUUAGAUACCCCUNUANUC